AUGGUCAUAUACACCGACGAGGAGGCGUAUUGGCGCCUUCGAGGUACCCAAAAGUGGGUUCUCCAGGGUGACGCCAACACCGCCUACUUCCAGGCAAUCGCCAAUGGCCGGCUGCGACGUAAUACCAUUCCACUUCUGUGGGAUGGCGCGACGCUCCUCCAGCGGCCCGCUGACAUCCGUGCCCAUGUUGACGGCUUCUAUCGAGCCCUGUUUGCAGCCCCCCUAGGGGGGCUUAGCUCUUGCGCCACACUUCUGGGUUGGACCGCAGUGUGUCUCGGCCGCGGACAAUGCGGCUCUCACGACCCCGUUCUCUGA
rnacentral:rRNA from 1 species